rnacentral:rRNA from 1 species
AACGAACGCUGGCGGCGUGCUUAACACAUGCAAGUCGAACGCGAAAGGGGACUUCGGUCCUGAGUAAAGUGGCGCACGGGUGAGUAACGCGUAGAUAACCUGUCUUCAUGUCUGGAAUAAUACGCCGAAAGGGGUACUAAUACCGGAUAUUCUUGCUUUUCAUAAGUUAUGCAAGCAAAGGUGGCCUCUGCAUAUGCUACUGCAUGAAGAGGGGUCUGCGUACCAUUAGCUAGUAGGUGGGGUAAUGGCCUACCUAGGCGACGAUGGUUAGCGGGUCUGAGAGGAUGAUCCGCCACACUGGCACUGGAACACGGGCCAGACUCUUACGGGAGGCAGCAGUGAGGAAUAUUGCGCAAUGGGGGAAACCCUGACGCAGCGACGCCGCGUGAGUUGAGGAAGGCCUUCGGGUCGUAAAGCUCUGUCAAGAGGAAAGAAGUGUACAAUGGCUAAUACCUGUUGUAUUUGACGGUACCUCUAAAGGAAGCACCGGCUAACUCCGUGCCAGCCGCCGC